AAAUGCGAUUUGUCCCGCCUCUGAACUCUCGAUCCAAUGGUGUGUAAGAUUGUCCUCGGGUCCCACCAACCAGCCGCUAGCUUUCCCGGUAGUCCCUGACUACAGUGGCCUCUCCGGGCCAAUUUCGGCAGGCUCGUUAGACCGCCAAUUAGAAGGCGAGGCGAGGAAAGGAGAGGCCGGGUUGGGACGUUGUGUUCUUAGAACCUGGAGUUAAGUUCCGCCCCCCUUUGUGAAGCCAGCCGCGUAGCAGCUCCUUGGUGUUCUGCUGCAGGCUAAUUCAGCAAGCUCCGAUUGCGGACCUCAGAGCCAGAGUAAGGCUAUGGGGAGAAUCCAGAGCUCUCCUCGGGAUGACACCCAGGAUCAUUUGGAGAGGCAGAUACAUAUUCACAUUAUUUCUUAAGCCCGAUUUAAGAAAACGCUAGCUGAAAGUGUUCUGGAAAAAUCCCACUGAUAGGGGGGAAUUGAGGUCUAUUGUGUGGUGGAAGGGGGAUUUACAUAGAUCCUGUGGCCCUACCUACUACUUCCUCAAUCUACACAAACCCCUCCUUCACCUCCAGCAGGAGGUUGACUCCCCUCCUCGAAGGCUACACUGUAAUCAAGGUCAUCACUGCUACCUGAUCCCAUAGCCUCUUACCUGCCUGAGGAACAAGCUAUAUACUAAUUCUCCCAGUGUUCCCCAAGGCCUCCCAUCUAACUUUCAAAAAGAUUGUUGCUGGUAUUUCUCCUGUCUAAAAAACUAACAACUAUUGGAUGGAUCACAGGGCUCCCAAUGGAGGAGCUAGAGAAAGUACCCAAGGAGCUAAAGGGAUCUGCAACCCUAUAGGUGGAACAACAUUAUGAACUAACCAGUACCCCGGAGCUCUUGACUCUAGCUGCAUAUGUAUCAAAAGAUGGCCUAGUCUGCCAUCACUGGAAAGAGAGGCCCAUUGGACACGCAAACUGUAUAUGCCCCAGUACAGGGGAAUGCCAGGGCCAAAAAAAAAAUGGGAAUGAGUGGGUAAGGAAGUGGGGGGGAGGGUAUGGGGGACUUUUGGGAUAGCGUUGGAAAUGUAAUUGAGGAAAAUAUGUAAUAAAAAUAAAUAAAUAAAUAAAUAAAUAAAUAAAAAAAUAAAGUAGACCACCAUAAGGCUGUUAAGGGAGAAAAAAUGGAAUGAGUAAUUUCCAGUGGUCUUUCUCCCUUCUAAGGUCCAUGCUUUGCCUGCAACGAAUGCACAAGGUUUAAAGCUAAAAAAUGCUGUGAUAAAUGAUUUGUGCUACUGAACAAGAUGGGCUAAGAAACAAGUUGAGUUCUUUAAUCCCCAACAGAAUCUACCUUUGCAAUUUCAUUCCCCACAUUAAAGGUCACUUGGAA
rnacentral:lncRNA from 1 species